CAGUAGGGAAUUUUCGGCAAUGGGGGAAACCCUGACCGAGCAAUGCCGCGUGAAUGAUGAAAUUCUUCGGAAUGUAAAAUUCUGUUGUGAGGGAAGAAAGGUAGUAUCAGGAAAUGGGUAUUACUUGACGGUACCUUACUAGAAAGCCCCGGCUAACUAUGUGCCAGCAGCCGCGGUAAUACAUAGGGGGCGAGCGUUAUCCGGAAUUAUUGGGCGUAAAGCGUGCGUAGGCGGCCGUUUAAGUCUGUCGUGAAAGCCCACAGCUUAACUGUGGAGGGUCGAUGGAAACUGGAUGGCUUGAAUCUAGAAGAGGUAAGUGGAAUUCCAUGUGUAGCGGUAAAAUGCUUAGAUAUAUGGAGGAACACCAGUGGCGAAGGCGGCUUACUGGUCUAGCAUUGACGCUGAGGCACGAAAGCGUAGGUAGCAAACAGGAUUAGAUACCCUGGUAGUCUACGCUGUAAACGAUGAGCACUAAGUGUCGGACGUAAGUUCGGUGCUGUAGUUAACGCAUUAAGUGCUCCGCCUGGGGAGUACGGUCGCAAGACUGAAACUCAAAGGAAUUGACGGGGACUCGCACAAGCGGUGGAGCAUGUGGUUUAAUUCGACGCAACGCGAAAAACCUUACCAGGCCUUGACAUCCCUAUGACCGCUCUAGAGAUAGAGUUUCCUCUUCGGAGGUAUAGGUGACAGGUGGUGCAUGGUUGUCGUCAGCUCGUGUCGUGAGAUGUUGGGUUAAGUCCCGCAACGAGCGCAACCCUUAUCAUUAGUUGCUAACAUUAAGUUGAGCACUCUAAUGAGACUGCCAGCGACAAGUUGGAGGAAGGUGGGGAUGACGUCAAAUCAUCAUGCCCCUUAUGGCCUGGGCUACACACGUGCUACAAUGGCCGGUACAAAGAGCAGCGAAAUUGUGAAAUGGAGCAAAUCUCAAAAAGCCGGUCUCAGUUCGGAUUGUAGUCUGCAACUCGACUACAUGAAGUUGGAAUCGCUAGUAAUCGUGGAUCAGCAUGCCACGGUGAAUACGUUCUCGAGUCUUGUACACACCGCCCGUCACACCAUGAGAGUUUGUAAUACCCGAAGCCGGUGGCUUAACCGCAAGGAGAGAGCCGUCUAAGGUAGGACAGAUGAUUGGGGUGAAGUCGUAACAAGGUAUCCCUACGAGAACGUGGGGAUG
rnacentral:rRNA from 1 species